GAGCUGGCCGUCUGGGCGGGGUAGUUUUAAACGGAAGUUAAUUUUGUCAGCGUGGAGGCUGGUGAGUCCUGUGUGAAUGCCAGGCUCGGUAUAAUCUACAUAUGGUGAAAUGGACAGAUCUUAUAUCCAUAAGAUAUUCCUGAUGAGUUUUGGCAAAUGUGCAACCAACACCCUAAUCAAGAUCUACAGCAGCAUUGUCCCACUGAAACAUAGUGUGAGCCACACAGCAUCGUAUUAACCAGAAGCUGCAUUUACCUGGACCAUACAUCAGCCCGAGCCUGUCUCCAGUGAAGAGUUGGGUCGUGCUGGAGGGACCAUUCAUCACACCUGCCCAGCUUCUGGAGGCUCUCCUGGGCUUUGGUGUCUUAGGCCAGAGCUGUCACAAACAUCCCACAUUCACCUUGUCCCUGUGAGGGGAGGGAGCUCCAAGUACUCUCUGGCCUUGAGAAAUGGCCCCUGAUAUUCCAUUGCUUCAGCUAUGACAUCUCUGUAGCAUCACAGUCUAUGCAACUUGGAUAGAGAGAGGCUAUGGGUCACACCAUCAAAUCUGAUUGAAAUUCAUCUUCAAUCAAUCAUGUUGAUGUUGUAUCUGGAGCUGACCUGGAAGCCUGAAUAUUCCUGGUCUUAUUUACUUCUCACACCAACCCAGCUAGCCCCAUUUCAGGGAUUACAAAAUGGAGCACUGACUUGCUCAGGGUUACUUAUGCUGCAGAAAAGGUGCAGAUCGAGGGUCGGAACUUGGGUCUCUUGACUCCAACACCAGUGCUCGUGCCACAAAGCCAGCUGCCUCAGUGAGUGGCUUCCUGACUGGAUGGCUGGUUUCUCAGGGUACUGACUUGCUUUGAAUGUCCUUUCUCCCUUUGCCUCCCCAGAGGGCGGCUUAUUUCUUUAAGCUCAAGAAGAGGGAAAAGAAAAAAGGAGACGGUGAAAUAAAUUUAUUGCCAUGUUAGAAACAUUGGAUUGAAGAAUUGAUCCCUACGGCUAAGUAAUUUCCCUCUUUCGUGCAAAAUGUAAAUAAAUCUGUAUGGCUUACGCUGAA